rnacentral:lncRNA from 1 species
GCCUGUUUUUCAGUGGUUGUCGUUGCAUGGUUGCUGGCUUUUAUAUGUUUUUUCGUUUUUUGGGUGUUUUUUUUGCACUUGCAUCAGACCGUUAGUUUUUUUUUUUUAUUAAAUUGUUUUGAUUUUUAGCUCACCUGGCCGAAAGGCCAAGUGAGCUUUUCUCAUCACUUGGCGUCCGGCGUCCGUCGUCGUCGUCGUCCGUCGUCGUCCUGCGUUAACUUUUACAAAAAUCUUCUCCUCUGAAACUACUGGGCC